rnacentral:rRNA from 1 species
UACGUAGGGUGCGAGCGUUAAUCGGAAUUACUGGGCGUAAAGCGUGCGCAGGCGGUUUGUGAUGUCUGAUGUGAAAGCCCCGGGCUCAACCUGGGAAUUGCAUUGGAAACUAGCGGGCUGGAGUGUGGCAGAGGGGGGUGGAAUUCCACGUGUAGCAGUGAAAUGCGCAGAUAUCAGGAGGAACACCGGUGGCGAAGGCGGGUCUCUGGGCCGAUACUGACGCUGAGGAGCGAAAGCGUGGGGAGCGAACAGG